UACGUCAACGUCCAGUGACGUAAAAAUCACGAUGACGCCCUUCAGAAGCCGGAGAUGUGAUGUCUCUGCACCAGACUUCCAAACGGCAUCUGUGCCUCGCACUCCAUUUGUGGGACGAGAAAUAGACGCAUGCAGUCAAGCGACAGCAUGGUGUCGUUGGGGUCCGAUGCUGUCCACGAUGACUUCGACAUGAUCGAAAUGGUGGCGAAGGCCAACGACAUCGAUGUGAAUGCAGGGAGAUUCCUGCCUGGUCUUGAAGUCCGACAGUGCACCCUCCGCAGCCGCCCGGACGACGCCUCAGGAGGAAGGCCUCCCAGGGAUCCCAGAUCUGAUAUCCUCCCAUCGCCUCGUGAACACUUCACAUGGGAUCAUCGCAUGCGAUCCGAUCAGGCAGAACCUCACAGGCACCCGGCGUGUCCGGCACGAGACCAGAGACGUACCCGGCACGCGGGGUCGGACGGGGCUGACGUUACCAUGCCACCUUGCAGACUGUCCAGGCCACCCUCUGAGAUGCUAUCCGUUGACUUUGUGAUGGCGUGGCUGCUGGACGGUUCGGUGCCAGCAAGAAAGAGCAAUGUUCUACCCGUCAUCCAGGAUGGGAAAAAAAGAGCACAAGAGCCCAAGUUAAAGGGUGGGCGGACCCGACAAGGUGCAGGCAGCUCAAACACGUGACCAGCUGUUUUCUCAGCCAACGAUUCUUCUAAACUCUUAGUGGACUCGUGAGGUGCAGUUUCCCCAACCCCCAUAUGUCUGUGUAAACGCCAUUGACCGAUUCUUCUUCUCAUUUCUUGGGGAAUAUCCCUUUUCUGCUCUCGAGAUAUACGCCUACAAGCAGCAGCAUGUGGCGGAAGAUGCUAAAAUCGUGACUUCACAUGUCUAAUUAACAAACAUUCCCAGUUCUCCCUUCAGUUUAGGCCUUCACAACCUAAAGGUAUCUUAGUUUUUGUUGGUGAUUGCCUGUCCCCUUCACCCCCAGUCUCUAUUUUAGCAGUUUUGCUUGGGAUGUGUAGGUUUUACGUUUUGACCAGUGGGAAGAGUUGACUAUAAAAUUGUCAGGAAUACUGAGGACUACUAUAUUAACCAUCUUUUUUUUCCUCUCCGUUUAUAUGAAUGUAUCAGCCUUUUUGUAAGAUGAGAAAGUUAAAGGCAAAAAACUGUUAUCUUUUGUUCUGUUCCCUUUUGAAAAUAAAUGAAUUAGAAUACCAUCUAUUGUUUUUAUAGUAUAACAAUAUCUGUGAAAUAUAAUGCGUACUCAAA
rnacentral:misc_RNA from 1 species